rnacentral:rRNA from 1 species
ACUCCUACGGGAGGCAGCAGUAGGGAAUUCUUCCACAAUGGACGAAAGUCUGAUGGAGCAACGCCGCGUGAGUGAAGAAGGUCUUCGGAUACGUAAAGCUCUGUUGUUGGUGAAGAAGGAUAGAGGCAGUAACUGGUCUUUAUUUGACGUAAUC